GAUGAACGCUGGCGGCGUGCCUAAUACAUGCAAGUCGAGCGAACGGACGAGAAGCUUGCUUUUCUGAUGUUAGCGGCGGACGGGUGAGUAACACGUGGAUAACCUACCUAUAAGACUGGGAUAACUUCGGGAAACCGGAGCUAAUACCGGAUAAUAUUUUGAACCGCAUGGUUCAAAAGUGAAAGACGGUCUUGCUGUCACUUAUAGAUGGAUCCGCGCUGCAUUAGCUAGUUGGUAAGGUAACGGCUUACCAAGGCAACGAUGCAUAGCCGACCUGAGAGGGUAAUCGGCCACACUGGAACUGAGACAGGGUCCAGACUCCUACGGGAGGCAGCAGUAGGGAAUCUGGCGCAAUGGGCGAAAGCCUGACGGAGCAACGCCGCGUGAGUGAUGAAGGUCUUCGGAUCGUAAAACUCUGUUAUUAGAGAAGAACAUAUGUGUAAGUAACUGUGCACAUCUUGACGGUACCUAAUCAUAAAGCCCCGGCUAACUACGU
rnacentral:rRNA from 1 species